rnacentral:tRNA from 1 species
UAAAACUUGUAAUUAUAAAAAAUUUGAUUUGAAAUCUAAUUUAUUGUCGUUGUUGACAAUACAAGUUUUAG